UGGCAAGGCCAGUUUCUGAGCUUGUGGCA
rnacentral:piRNA from 1 species